AGGUUUCCUGCGCAACGUUAAUCGACGCAGGGUUAGUCGGUCCCUAAGGCGAGGCUGAAAAGCGUAGUCGAUGGAAAACAGGUUAAUAUUCCUGUACUUCCAGUUAUUGCGAUGGAGGGACGGAGAAGGUUAGGCCAGCCUGGCGUUGGUUGUCCAGGUUUAAGGUGGUAGGCUGAAAUCUUAGGCAAAUCCGGGAUUUCAAGGCCGAGAGCUGAUGACGAGUUGCCUUUAGGCGACGAAGUGGUUGAUACCAUGCU
rnacentral:rRNA from 1 species